rnacentral:rRNA from 1 species
AAAUUGAAGAGUUUGAUCAUGGCUCAGAUUGAACGCUGGCGGCAGGCCUAACACAUGCAAGUCGAACGGUAGCACAGAGAGCUUGCUCUCGGGUGACGAGUGGCGGACGGGUGAGUAAUGUCUGGGAAACUGCCUGAUGGAGGGGGAUAACUACUGGAAACGGUGGCUAAUACCGCAUAACGUCGCAAGACCAAAGAGGGGGACCUUCGGGCCUCUUGCCAUCAGAUGUGCCCAGAUGGGAUUAGCUUGUUGGUGAGGUA